AACCAUCCCUGGAGACACCCCAGGCCAGGCUGGAUGGGGCUCUGAGCAACCCGAUCAGGGUGAAGACGUUCCUGCUCAUGGCAGGAGGUGGCACUCAACGAGCUUUGAAGGUCCCUUCCAACCCAAACUAUUCUGUGAUUCUAUGUGAGAACAAUCCUGGUUUCUCAGCCAAAGAGAGAGCGAGGUCCACACCACAAGGCUGCUGACAAGAGUCUUCAUUUGCUCUUUAUGGAUUAUUUUCCUUCUCUUUCAGAAGGUGCUCCUGCAGCUCUUCCUCUGGGGAAGAGCUGCCAGUAGCGUUGAGCAGUGUGGACAGAAAUCAUGUUCCUCCAGCUUUUCAGCCUAAGAAUGCAAAUCCAGCUGUGAAGGGGUUCACUCGACACUUGGUUCCCUGACAGCCCCUGGACUCUCAUUUUCAGGCACAAGAUGGCCCCAAAAAAGAACUGGUUUGUGAUGGACAGGCAGAGGAUGCAGUUCUUGAGGGACAUGAGGUGCUUCCGAGUCAUCCUCCUGUUGCUUCUGGUGGCUCUUGGCAUUUACUGCACAACCUCGAUGCCAGGGUGGACAACACAGGCAAAGGGAUGGAUGGAGGUGGGUGACUCCUGCAAGGGAGCGCUGCUGACAGGGGCUGCAGAAAUCACGGGCUCUUCUGCUUCCGUGCAGGGCGACCCAAAGAAAGAGCAGCUUGAGCCGUGUCUCCUGGGGAAGCCUGCCCCGGGGAGCCCUGGCAGCUCUGGUGGUGGAGACUCUAACGGGGAAUUGUUCCCUUUCAGGAGCAGAUCUGUGGGUCCGCAAUCGAACGGAAGAUCCAGAGGUAAGAGAUGUUUCCUGAGCUGCAACUGGGUCUGUGCAGAAGCCUCAGCCAACACCUUAUGCUACCUGCACCCAUUUUUCUAAAGCCAGGGCUCCCGUCCUUCCCUCUGGCCUUUGCAUUGCUCAGCCUGGUGAGGAGGGAAGCGCUGGCAAAGCCGGGCGAGCACACGUGUCUGUGCUCCGUGCUGAGCUCCGGCGCUCCCCAGAGGGGAUGGACAUCUCUCUGACAAGAUCUGCUUUCCUGGUCCCUCAGCGAUUACCAGGCUUUGCUGGUGGCACAAAAUCAAAAUAUGCGGCGUCUGCUGCAGGAGGUGGCUCAGCUGAGGGUGCAGCUCAUCAGCGCGAGGAAGGUGAGCGUGCAUUUGGGGAAGGAGGUUUGGCUGGGCAGAAGCCCCGAGAAAGCCUCCUUGGGGUUGUUGGUGGGCUUGGACUGCUGACCGUGCUGUUCCUCAACCAGGCAGCGUCCGAGGCGGCUUCGCAAGUCUCCGUGGAGAUGUCUGACUGGGCCCUGCAGAGCGCUGGUACGGACACAAGCAGCCCAGCCGUGCUCCCGGCGCUGCUCUCCAAACUGCUGAUGAGGACAGGACUGAAAAACGAGGAGCUGGCAGCGGCCUCACGGGUCGCGUCUGAGCACCGAGUGCCCCGCUUGCGGUCAACUGCCCCCACUUCCUUCCAGGUGCCGCCAUCGACACGCGGAGAACUUCCCAGACCUACAGCUGCCAAGGGAAUUGGAUCUGCGGCGUUAUACAGUUAUUUCAUGCUGCCAACCCUCCUGAGGCUGUUCUGCAGCCCGAUGUUUCCCCAGGGAACUGCUGGCCUUUCCAAGGGCGUCAGGGCCAGGUGGUCAUCCGGUUGCCAGCACGAGUCCACCUGAGCGCCGUCACUGUGCAGCACAUCUCCAAGGAAGCUUCUCCCUCUGGGUCCGUCAUUAGCGCCCCCAGAGACGUCGCUGUCUUUGGACUGGAUGCGGAUGGAGAAGAGGAAACUCUGCUUGGGAUGUUCAUGUACAACGUGGCGAAAGAGCCCAUCCAGACGUUCCCGCUGAAGGCGCUGCCCAGAGCCUUUUCAUACGUCAAAUUUCUUGUCAAGAGCAACUGGGGAAACCCGAAGUAUACCUGCAUUUAUCGAGUGCGGGUUCACGGGAAGAUGGCAAAACCAGAAAGCCUCAGCUGAAACCAGAGCAGAAACAAAGGCAAAAAAUAAAAAAUGCUGUGUCGGUUCAGAUCGGUGUAGAAGAUGUGCAAACCUGAUUCCUCAGCCCAUGAACGUUCCUGUUCUUGAUCUGGCUCAUCUGUGUCAGAGGUUCGUUUGUGUCGGGUUAAUUAGUGUCGACGUGGAAUUUUGAAGUGUU